rnacentral:lncRNA from 1 species
AACACAUGCUCAUAGCGAUACAUAUUUAAUAACAAGUCAUAUUUGUAGCGAAAUAUGAUUUACAAUGCAUUUGAUAUAUUGCAUAAUUUAUUUUAAGAUAUUCAAAAUUUAAAAUACAAUUUAUCAUAUAACAAGUGAUGUUUGUAAUUAAAUUUAUUUCGCAACACACAAAAUUUGUCGCAUCAUCAUUUGUGAGAAAUUAUGAUUUUUGUCAUAUGCUUCCCCCUCUCGAGUUUGGUCAGCUUCAGAUGACUUAGUAGCACAUAAAUCUUCUAACAUAUCAUCAUCAUCUCAUCAUCAUUUUUUGCUUCAUCCAAUUUAGAUGUAUUUCUUUCAACAUCCUCCGUAUCAUUCUCAAGUUCCACCCCAUGAAAAAUCCAUCUCUCAUAACUUGCAGAGACUUCGGGAUGAUAUAAAUGAGAUUCUACCAUAGAGACUAAGAGUGCAUUUUGAUAAUUUCGACAUGGACACUGAACCUCGUUGUUUUCAUCCAGACAUUGUUUUUCUGCCUCCUGAAUUAACACCAUCUAAAUAUUGAUCACUUAAUAUGUUACAAAGUUGCAUCCAACUCCUAUCCAGCAUGUAUAUCUCUGUAUUCACAUAGACCAUACAAAAGAGAAUAUGUAGUUAGUAAUUUUUAGUGAAAACAAAAACAAUGUUAACCAAAAAAAAAAGCUGAAAGCAACAAGGGUGGAAAUAGUUGGUUCUCAUGAAACUAGCCCCCAACAAAAUACAUCUGCAUUAUUUACUAUAAUAGGUCAGUUCUAGAAUACAUAUUUUCCCGUAUACAAAUUUACUAUACAUAUUUUUUCCGUAGAAUAAGUACUUCCCUUGUACAAGUAACAAUUAAUAACUCAAAUAGGAAAACUGCUUGCAAUUUGUAGGACUAAUAAACUCAUGGACAGCAGAAUUCAAUCUUGUUCUAGGAAGAUUAUAUAAAGUUAAUGAAAAAAAUAAACUUGUAAAGUUCAAAUGGGCUCCCAUUUGAGAUGACCACCUUCUGCAAACUAUAUAUUCUAUGAGUGCAAGAAAUUGGUGGAAAAUCAUAUCAUAAUUCAACAUAAAUUGUAAGUCUAGAAGUGUAAGAAUAUGCUCAAAAUGUAUCAAUUUGAAGAAGAUUGACAUUUUAGUGCAUAUUUCCUUCACCAUUGUAUUCAUGUCAAGUAUAACAAGAUCAGACUACGAUGAGAUAUAGAUAAACUAGUUUUUCUAGGUCCAAAUUUUCUUUUCCCUGCAGUUAACAACAUCCAUGAAGAGUGAUGACACAUCCUUAAAAAAAAAAACCACCCAUUAACCAUAAAUAAUUAUGAAAAACAUCAAUAAUGGGAAGGCAGCCUCUGAACUUCGAACUGUAAAACAAGAACUGUGGUAUCACUUAUUUUAAGUAAUCUAAUAAGCCAUUGUUAAACUCUGUCUCUGUGCAACAUAGAAAUUGGCGUAUAAGUCACAAAAACAAUUGGUUUAACAGAUCAUAUAUCUAUAAUCUAACCUAGGAUAGAGUAUUAUAGAAAUAAGAUGAUGAGAGAAGGGAACAAAAGUAAUCGUUCAGGGACUUAAACCCAAUAUUAACACCCUUCUUGUAUAUCAAAACGAAAGAAAUUCAUAAGCACAUUUGUGCAUUGCUUAACCAUCAAAUAAACAAGAAAAAUGUAUGAUUAAACAUACACAUAUCAAACCCAAAUAAAGAAGAAACCAAAAUUGUAAAUCUAAUUUUCUCCUCAACAGAUUAGAAGGGGAAAAAAUGCAAAUCGACCUACUAAAAUUUCUCAGAUAAGCAGUAAGUAGAAAACGCUUUGGAUGCGGUUGACGGCAAUGGAGGCGUGAGAAGAGUGGUGAUGGCCUAUUGGAUUGUGCCGCCAAUUGAUAUGGAUUUGGGGAUUUUUACUUGGAAGAAACCCUUGCGAAAUUUGGUUGGGAAUAAAACAAUGUUU